rnacentral:rRNA from 1 species
AUAUCAAUAAGCGGAGGAAAAGAAACCAACUGGGAUUGCCCUAGUAACGGCGAGUGAAGCGGCAACAGCUCAAAUUUGAAAGCUCCCCACCGGGCGCGUUGUAAUUUGCAGAGGAUGCUUUGGAGACGUGCCUGGUCUAAGUCCAUUGGAACAUGGCGUCGCAGAGGGUGAGAGUCCCGUACGCGGCCGGGUGCCUAUCCGUGUAAAGCUCCUUCGACGAGUCGAGUUGUUUGGGAAUGCAGCUCUAAAUGGGAGGUAAAUUUCUUCUAAGGCUAAAUACCGGCCAGAGACCGAUAGCGCACAAGUAGAGUGAUCGAAAGAUGAAAAGCACUUUGAAAAGAGAGUUAAAAAGUAC